GGUCAGUUUUGUUGGGAGAAAGGCGGGGAGGUGGAGUGGAAGAGAGGGGAGGGGAAGAGAAGAUAGGAGACCCGAGUGACUGGAGAAAGAAGGGAAGGGACUAAAUGUGAGAGAUUUGUGCCGAUUUCCUCCAAACCAGGACCAGUUGUUAAUUCACCUAACGACUAGCUUCGGCUUUGGGCAUAUUGCAGAUCAUUUGGCAGCUAGGAAACUGUCGUUCUUGCCCUCCUUUCUGCUAUCGACAUGUAGAGGCAAAUCUUCCUAGUCUUGCUUCGAGUUUGAACUCUGGGCCACAAAAAUGCAGGUCAGCCCUGAAUAAGAGAACCUCUUCUCUGAAGGACCAUUGCCAUACACUUUGGAGCAUGAUAGAGAGAUCAAUGCCUGACCCAAAGACUGCAGAGAGAGUACUUUUGCAAAGAAGAUAUGAGAUAAUCAGUUUGAAACCCAUCCUUUCUAAUACAAAUAAGUAAGAAGAAAUAUAGGGAGAGGGAGCUCAUUUUAAAGCAACGUUUAAAGAAAGACUUGGAGGAGUGAGAACAAAUGAGCAGAAAUGUUUACAUUUGCUAUAAUGUCAAAGGCAAUUCCAGGUUGGAGCAUUCAGGAAAGGAGAAGCAACAAACAGAAAAUUAUGAAUAUCUUAAUUGCACUUUCUCUAGCCUGUCACCAAAUAUACACAGUAUAACUGGGCCUCUAUUAGGCAACAGAUAGUGAUGAAUUGAUUUUAUUUCUAGAAAGAGAGCAUUGCUUAGCAAAGGAUUUUUUUUAAGGGUGCAAGAACAAAAGAAAAGAGAAGAGAAAGAGAAUGAGAAAAGCUUUUUAAAAAUAUGUUUUUUAAAAUGGAUGAUUCUAAGCAUGUACACAAAACAUUUAUUCCAAGAAGGAGAAAAAAUAAGAGGUUUCAUAUUUUCUUAAAAUGGACAGUGAAGGAACAUUAGCCUCUGGUGCCACAAAAAGGAAAUGGAAUUGACUUGAGAGAGUUCUGGGUAAGACAUGAAAAGACAGUUGGGUUAAGCAAUGUAUUGGUUCUUUCUGUUUUUUUUUUUAUGUUUUCAUUGAAACUAGAAAUCAAACAUAUGGAGAAAGAUUGAAGAGAUGAACAGAGCCAAGGAAAAAGAUGGCCUGAAGUAGUUUGGUCGAUAGAGGCUAAGGCAACUACUAGUGGGGUUGUGUUUCAAAGCAAGACAUCAGCAAACCACAAUAUUAGUGACACUGACAGAGCAAAAUUGUUUUUAAUGUUAUGAGGGGAAAGGGGAAAUAUAAAAUUAAUGAACAGAAAAAUUUCCCCAGACAUUCAUCAUAAUUAAAGAAACAUAUGAAUGUAUGUAGUAGAUAAUAACAUUUUUCUUUGUAGGUUUCACUGAUGCAGAGUGAUUCAGUAAAGUUGAGGAAAACUUUUCUACCCUAUAAUGACCUCUUUCUCCUGUCCUCUGAAUUGUAGCUACAUUGGAAAUAAAACUAGUUUCUUGAGAAAGGUUAAUCACUUUCCAUCCAAAUCACUAUAUAUCUCCCAUCACCUUCUCUGUCUGUCUGUCUCUCUCUUUCCCUUCUUCCUUCUUUAUUUUCCCUCCCUCCCUUCCUUUCUCCCUUCCUUCCUUUCUUCCUUCUCUGCCCCUUGGAGCUCAUAAUAUUUUAAGUCUUGACACUGUUUCCAAAGCCAGGGGGCUUUUAAUUAGCGAUGUAGCUGAAAACGAGACAGUAGCUUUUUGUCUGGGAUUAGAUGGUGUAGAAGGGAAGGAAAACCUGAUGUUUGGGGAGUCUGUGUCCACUUCACUUAAGAAAGCCUCUCUAGUUUGAGGGAGAAAUAUGCUAAAGGGAAGAAUGAAUUAUAUUGAUGAAUUAGGAAGUCCCUUUUUGGUACAUCCAUUUCAAGGCUUCUUCCUCCAAUGGCUACAUGGCAGGGAGCUCUACUUGUGGCUUGAGGGGAAGUACUGUCAGUGCUGACCCCACGAGUUCUUUUAGAUCUUAGGAUGUUAAGAUGUACUCAAGCUUUUCAACUUUGGCCAAGUCCAGACUGAAGCAUAGAAGGUUCGCCUAGAGACAUUCAGGAAAAGUGAAAAGAGGGCAUUUUUCACUCAGGAUCAAUUUCUGUUCAAUGUGACAAAUUAUAUUCUAAACCUUUCAGAGGAAGGAAGAAAGGAAGGAAGAAAGGAGAGGAGAGAGACAAACAGAGGAAGAGUGACAUAUACACAGAAAAUCAAAAAGAAAGAGACUAGUAAUUAAGAAAAAAUGAUUUUUACUUUUGUAAACUAUUGUAUUACUGUGGUUAUUAAAAUACUUUUCUACCUUAAUAUCAAAUAUACUUUUUUAAAAGAUGGAAUACCAUAUAGGAGAAUGGGAGAGAGAUACUGAGGAGAAUAAUAAAAAUGCAACAGAAAUGAAAUUAAUAAACAAAACACCAAAAGGAGAUUUAAGAAAAAGAAAGUCACUGCCAGAAAAGGAAAGAACUAACAUUUGUAUAGGGCUUUAAGGUUUGCAAAGUGAUUUAUAUAUCCUAUCUCAUUUGGUAUAAAAAAAGUAAAACAGAAAACUCUGAUAAAGAUAGGUAUUCAAGUAGAAAAUUACAAGUUAGCUGAGUCACACAAAGCAGUCUUUCCUUUGGAUAUGUGGUAUCUACUGUAACAACUUAGAAAAAAAUGUGGGGAGGUGAUACAGUUUAAGCUUUACACUUUGAUUUUAGCAACAAGUAUCGAAAGAUCUAAACUAAUUGAUUGUUAAGUUACUUGGAACUUAUCCAAAGAGCAAUAUAGAUAUAAUUGUAUGUUGCUUAAAACUCCAUUUCUCCGAAGAGUGUGAAACAUGUAAUAAAAAUCAUAAACUGUGAACCCAUAAACUUGCUUUUCUCCCCGCCCCCACUAAGCACAAAUCGACACUUGAAAAUCUUUGCUAAUGGAGAAAAAAAAAGAGGUGUAGACAUGCAAUAAAAUCUAACUGCUAAUUCAUAUUAGGUCAUUCAGAAAAAGGCAAUAUUUCUCCUUUCUUUUUCUUGAUAAAGGGUCAAGCAUCCCUUUCUGGUUCUCAGUUAGAGGGUUCCCGUCUCAUACGUCUAACAUAAAGUAGAUUUGUUCCCUCCCUCCUCAAUGUGGAGAGAAAUAUCUGGAAAAGGGAAGAUUGAAUUAAAAUUUCUUCUUCUGUGCCUCGUCCCCCCCGCCCCCCAAGAAAACCAAUAUUUGAUUGUUAUCCAUUAACAAGUUCUUCAGAUCCUGGACUUACCCAGAGAAAGCUGAAAAUGCUGGAGUCAUUUAAAAAACAAAACAAAACAAAUACGACAAAUUCGGGUUUCUCCCUCGACAGGAAUAUCUCUCUUCAUUGUCAACCCACAUACACUUGUCAGUGUCUAAAAUUGGCCCUGGGACUUUAGUCUUCAAUUGAUAUUAUCUAGAAAAGGAGCUCCGAAAAGCUCUGAGAAUUCAAUAGUGAUUGUAAGGAAUUCUGUGUUCUGGACAAGUUAGGGACUGCCAUCAAAUGCGCUGCUCCAGUGGUAUCUUGUGUAUUACUUUUGCGGUCCAGAGCGUGAUUUCAGUCUGAAAUUUGCAAAAAUCCACGUCAUCUCUUUGCCUCUUACCAGCAGCCCGGCCCUUUGACACAGCAGGAUUGAAGUCGGGGCUGAAGGUCUUUGGAGGUCUCUGAGUGUGACAGUACUUAGAAUAGCGGGUAGAUGGCACAAUUUUCUAACAUUUAGAGAGAGGAGCCCACGCUGGGAGCAAUAAGUCCAUUUAAAAGCCCUUUAUUUAAAAGGAACAAAGAUAACUGACAAGCAAAGUACAGAGACAUCUCAAUGAAAAUUCGAGAGAAGAAAGAAAAACGAGAGGCCAAAGAAAAUGCCAACUAGGUUUUACUUGAAAGUCCAGUAUCUCUCCCCCUGAAAAGGGGGAGAAAAACCUAUAUCCAGGCAAAUAUUUUUUUAAACAUUCACAUAUUGUCUGUACUUUAAAAUAUUUAUUCAGGGAUUUAAUGAAGACAAGUAUUCUGAGAAAAUGAGGGGGGCACCCCACAUGUUUGAGAGGCAAAUUUUAGAAAACGGAUUCCAGGUUAUAGAACAAUGGUAUCUGAGAGAAGAGACACUUGGAAAACUCCAUUAAGGAUAGACACCUCCUGCGUUCUUCAAGCCAAAGUUUAAGCAAGAAAAAACAACGUGGGACAGAUGACAGGUGAUACCUGUAGGUUUAAGACUUGGCUGAGUAUAUGAGGUCCCAGACUCUAAGCUAAUUCCAGAGCCAGACCCUGGCAUAUUUUACAAAGCCUGGACAAAGGCAAAUCUACGCCUGACACUCCCUUUCUAAAUAAAGCUAUUCUGUCCCAUCAUUCUGGAAAUCUGAAGACAAGUUAGAGGAGGCUUCAAUUCAAAGAUUAAAAGCUGGCCAUGAGGUUUAGCCCAAGUUUGUAGGGAAAUUGGUACCCAGAACCUAGAUAGAGAGCAUUCACUGAAACACUUUGAAACUGUCCUUCUCAAAAAUUACACAAGAUUAUUGUUGAAAAGCUUGGAUCAUUUAGAUCAUUUAGAUCACUUAAGAAACUUCCCAUAAUCGAGAUAAAUACUACAACUAAACAAACAAGCCAAAUAACAACAAAAAAAAAAAGCCAAGCAACAAACAACAAAAAUCUCCCAAGACUUCAUCAAAACCAAUAACUAUGUAUUAUAUUUCCUAAAGACAUAAGUCAGGAUACAUUUCAUUAGUGUAUAUAUUCUGACCUGGAAAAUAUAAUCACCCUACUUGUGUGUGUGUGUGUGUGUGUGUGUGUGUGUGUGUGUGUGUGAGAGAGAGAGAGAGAGAGAGAGAGAGAGAGAGAGAGAGAGUAAGAGAGAGAGAGAGAGAGAGAAAGUGAGAGAGAGAGAGAGAGAGAGAG